AAAGACUGCUUACCGUAGUACACUUUUGUAUGAGGAAUUAUUGCGAGCAAAUACUCCUAAUCUCUCCCAUGUUCGUAGUGACCAAAUCUGCAAGGCAGGUAAUUGCAUUCAUCACUCUCCUCGCUAAGAGGCUCAUUUUUCUUAAAUGGACCAACUCCUCCCCUCCCACACAUAACAGAUGGAUGGUUGAGGUACUGCAAUGUAGAGGGCUUCAAAAAAUCAGGUAUUCUUUAAGAGGUUCUCUUAAGAUCUUCCAAAAAAUCUGGCAACCCUUUUAGCCCAUAUCAACACAUAUCGACAUUUUUCAUAAAUAACUUUUUAUGAAAAGGAAAAGGCUAUUGUCAGCACCAGCUCUUGUAUAUUACGACUCCAACUGCCAAACAGUCGUCAGCGCUGAUUCAAGCAGCUAUGGCUUGGGAGCCACACUGCUGCAGGAUCAUGACGGGGAGCUGAGACCAGUUACCUUUUUCUCACGUAACUGAGACGGGGAAACAAUACUCCCAGAUAGAGAAGGAGUGCUUAGCAGCAGUUUGGUCUUUGCACAGUACAUACAGGGACUGGACAGGUUUGUUCUCCAAACAGAAGAUAAACCACAAGUACUGCUGAUCAAUACAUAAGAUCUGGAUGAAGCAACAAUACGGUGCCAGAGGCUGUUGAUGCGCCUCCGUCUGGUGGCCAGGGAUCAGCAGUGGAGAGCCAUAACUGGCCCUAAUGUGCUACAGGGCUACGCCCAUCGCGACGACAGGGGUCAGUCCAGCUCAAUUGAUCAUGAGAUGUCAAAUCAGCACCAUGGUCCUUACACUGGAGACGACACUGCAAGCCACUGCUAUCAGCCGGGACCAGGUGCAGAUAAAGGACUCCACAUCCAAAAUGGCAUAUGAACAUUACUACAACCAUAGACACUCUGUCUGUCCGCUUCCGGAACUGCAUGCAGGACAGACUGUCAGAUUUAAGCUGGAUGGAGAAAAGAGAUGAACAACUACUGCUGAGGUGGUCAGGAGAUCAGCAGAGCUGCAAUCCUACCUGGUUAAAACCGACAAGGGUACAGUGAUGCGACGAAACAGGAUGCAUGCAGGCUCUUCCAGAGGAGGCCACGGCCACCGACCAACAGCAUCAGUCGGAGGAAACGUUGACACAGCACUUUAGGUUCUUCUGUUUAAGUUGGACUUACACCUAGAGAAAAAGACAUUUGGAAAGAUUUUAUAAGGACUUUGUGUUCAAUAGGAACAGAAACUACCAGAGGGCAGAAUAAUCCCUACAUUGCUGUGGACAGCCCUCCCCCAAAGUCCUAGGUUCUUGUUUGUGGUUCAUGAAAACGUUGAGAUUAUCAAAAAAGAAUGUUGUAAUUUAAUGUA